rnacentral:rRNA from 1 species
GUACGGUCGCAAGGCUAAAACUCAAAGGAAUUGACGGGGGCUCACACAAGCGGUGGAGCAUGUGGCUUAAUUCGAAGCAACGCGAAGAACCUUAUCCUGGGUUUGACAUGCACGGAUUAACUCGCCGAAAGGCGAGCCACACCCGCAAGGGUGGAACGUGCACAGGUGCUGCAUGGCUGUCGUCAGCUCGUGCUGUGAAGUGUCGGGUUAAGUCCCUUAACGAGCGAAACCCCUAUCGCUAGUUGCAAACGGUUCGGCCGUGGACUCUAGCGAGACUGCCGGCGUCAAGUCGGAGGAAGGUGGGGAUGACGUCAAGUCCUCAUGGCCUUUAUGCCCAGGGCUGCACACGUGCUACAAUGGCGCGCACAGAACGACGCAAAACCGCAAGGUGGAGCAAAUCGCUCAAAACGCGCCCCAGUUCGGAUUGUGGGCUGCAACCCGCCCACAUGAAGUUGGAAUCGCUAGUAAUCGGAGAUCAGCUACGCUCCGGUGAAUACGUUCCUGAGCCUUGUACACACCGCCCGUCAAGUCAUGGAAGCCGGUAGCGCCCGAAGUCGCCGAAUAUCAUCGGUGCCCACGGCGAGACUGGUGACUGGGACU